UUAGGUGUAGCUGGUGUAUUUGGCGGUUCCCUAUUCAAUGCUAUGCAUGGUUCCUUGGUAACCUCUAGUUUGAUCAGGGAAACUAUUGAAAAUGAAUCUGCUAAUGAGGGUUACAAAUUUGGUCAAGAGGAAGAAACUUAUAAUAUUGUGGCUGCUCAUGGUUAUUUUGGCAGAUUAAUCGGCCAACAU